GAGUAAUGCGUGACCAACCUGCCCCAUGCUCCAGAAUAGCUCUUGGAAACGGGUGGUAAUGCUGGAUGCUCCAACUUGACGCAUGUCUUGUUGGGAAAGUGUUUAGUGGCAUGGGAUGGGGUCGCGUCCUAUCAGCUUGUAGGCGGGGUAAUGGCCCACCUAGGCUUCGACGGGUAGCCGGCCUGAGAGGCGGACGGCCACAUUGGGACUGAGAUACGGCCCAGACUCCUACGGGAGGCAGCAGCC
rnacentral:rRNA from 1 species